UACGUAGGGGGCAAGCGUUGUCCGGAAUCAUUGGGCGUAAAGAGCGUGUAGGCGGCCCGGUAAGUCCGCUGUGAAAGUCCAGGGCUCAACCCUGGGAUGCCGGUGGAUACUGUCGGGCUCGAGUCCGGAAGGGGAGUGUGGAAUUCCUGGUGUAGCGGUGAAAUGCGCAGGUAUACUAGGAGGAACACCAAUGGCGAAGGCAGCACUCUGGGACGUGACUGACGCUGAGACGCGAAAGCGUGGGGAGC
rnacentral:rRNA from 1 species